GUCAAGUUUUUAAGAGCGCACGGUGGAUGCCUGGGCAUCAGGAGCCGAUGAAGGACGUAGGAGGCUGCGAUAAGCCUCGGGGAGCUGUCAACCGAGCUGUGAUCCGAGGAUUUCCGAAUGGGGAAACCCAGCACGAGUCAUGUCGUGUUACCUGCACCUGAACACAUAGGGUGUGUGGAGGGAACGUGGGGAAGUGAAACAUCUCAGUACCCACAGGAAGAGAAAGCAACCGCGAUUCCGUUAGUAGUGGCGAGCGAAACCGGAACAGGCUAAACCGAGUACGUGUGAUAUCCGGCAGGAGUUGCGUAUUCGGGGUUGUGGGACUUUUCAGGCUGCUCUGCCGAGCAGCCGGCGUUACAAGAAGGUAUAGACGAAUGGCAUUGAAAGGCCAGUCAUAGAGGGUGUGAACCCCGUAGUCGAAAUGCCUCCCUUGGCGCGAAGAGUAUCCCAAGUAGCACGGGGCCCGAGAAAUCCCGUGUGAAUCUGUCAGGACCACCUGAUAAGCCUAAAUACUCCCAGAUGACCGAUAGCGGACAAGUACCGUGAGGGAAAGGUGAAAAGUACCCCGGGAGGGGAGUGAAAUAGUACCUGAAACCGUGUGCCUACAAUCCGUCGGAGCUUCGCCUUGUGCGGGGUGACGGCGUGCCUUUUGAAGAAUGAGCCUGCGAGUUAGUGGUAUGUGGCGAGGUUAACCCGUGUGGGGAAGCCGUAGCGAAAGCGAGUCCGAAUAGGGCGAUUCAGUAGCGCGCUCAAGACCCGAAGCGAAGUGAUCUAUCCAUGGGCAGGUUGAAGCGUCGGUAAGACGACGUGGAGGACCGAACCCACUUAGGUUGAAAACUGAGGGGAUGAGCUGUGGAUAGGGGUGAAAGGCCAAUCAAACUCCGUGAUAGCUGGUUCUCCCCGAAAUGCAUUUAGGUGCAGCGUUGCGUGUUUCUUGCCGGAGGUAGAGCACUGGAUAGCUAAUGGGCCCUACAAGGUUACUGACGUUAGCCAAACUCCGAAUGCCGGUAAGUGAGAGCGCAGCAGUGAGACUGUGGGGGAUAAGCUUCAUAGUCGA
rnacentral:rRNA from 14 species